AACGAACGCUGGCGGCAGGCCUAACACAUGCAAGUCGAGCGAACCCUUCGGGGGUUAGCGGCGGACGGGUUAGUAACGCGUGGGAACAUACCCUUUGGUACGGAAUAGCCUCGGGAAACUGAGAGUAAUACCGUAUGUGCCCUUCGGGGGAAAGAUUUAUCGCCAAAGGAUUGGCCCGCGUUGGAUUAGGUAGUUGGUGGGGUAAUGGCCUACCAAGCCUACGAUCCAUAGCUGGUUUGAGAGGAUGAUCAGCAACACUGGGACUGAGACACGGCCCAGACUCCUACGGGAGGCAGCAGUGGGGAAUCUUAGACAAUGGGCGCAAGCCUGAUCUAGCCAUGCCGCGUGGACGAUGAAGGCCUUAGGGUUGUAAAGUCCUUUCAGCUGGGAAGAUAAUGACGGUACCAGCAGAAGAAGCCCCCGGCUAACUCCGUGCCAGCAGCUG
rnacentral:rRNA from 1 species